rnacentral:lncRNA from 1 species
AUGGCCGCCAAAUCCCUUGUGACAAAUGCAUCCUUUUGUUGUUGUUCCUGGACACGAAACACAGCUUUCCAGGCCCUUCAGCAGCGACUCCUCGAAGGUGGGAAAAGACCUCAAUCAGCACCAGGAUGUCGGCUCGGAGGAAGAGGGUUGGGUGGGCGAGGGACACCCGCGCCCCGCCCCGAGCCCUCGGGGAGGCCGGCGGCCGCGGCUCGGGAGGUGGGGACUGCGCGGGGCCGCGCUCCCGCCCUCCUCGGCGCCGACGGACCCGCAGGCGGCGGGCGGCCCGCGAGGGGGCGGCGGCUCCCGGGCUUUGUGGCCGCGGCGCGCGCGCCGCCGCCGCCCGGCGCUCCGGAGCCCGCGGCCCUGCCGGCCGCCCAGCCUGCGAGAGGAGCCGAGGCCGCCCGCCUCCCGCGUCCCGCCGGCCUCUCCCCGGUCGCCGCGGCCGCCGCGCCGUCGCUGCAGGUAGGAGGCUCCGGGGCGGGCGGCGGGCGGCGGGGGACGCGGGCGGCGGGCCGGCCUGGCGGGCUUGCCGGCCGAGCCUCUGCGCCCCCUGCCUUGCAGGCCCGGCGGCCGCCGGCGCGCGCCGCACAGCGACUCCGGGAGCGGGGCCGGCCUGCCGCGUACAAAGCCCCGGGCGCGCACCGCGGCGACGUUCCACGGCGCACCCGAGGUCGGGGACUCCGGACCCCCAGGCCGCGGGGGCUGCUUGGGAGGAAUCCAGGUGACCCGCAGUGGCGCGGUUUUCCCAUCCUAGGGUCCCCACUGGCUGCCGGGCACGGUGCACGGCGCUUUCCCAUACUUGUCUCCUUUAAGACCCCUUGUGCCCCGUUCCAGGGUGUAAUGGGAGGGCUCCCUCACUCGGGGAGGCCCAGGGCCGAGCAUCACGUCCGUGCCCCCCUGACCUUGGGAAGGCUCCUUUCCGGAGCCUCGGCUUCUGCUUCUGUAAAUGGGGGUGCCGCGGCGGGGGGGAGGGGGGGGGUGCGGGGGGGUGCGGGAGUGCGUGGUGUGAUCCAGGAACAAUUGUGA